CUGGGGUUGACUAGCUCAAAGCAACACAGAUAUAACGAAAAAACCUGUGUUAUAUCACAUGUUCAUCUACUGCCUGCAUUCCACCUCCUGCCGCAGGCGCUGCCGCUUCCCUGCAUGCCCCGGGAACUGCGGACUGUUCAGGUGCUGUGGGGCUACAAGGACAAUCUGAUCUGCUUCAGCUUCUUCUAUGCUCUUUGCUGGGUCACUUCUUAGGAAGAAGGUAUUUCCUUUCUGCUCUGCUAUGUGUCUGUGUAUCAGUUAGGAGGCUGAGAACAGCUGAGCAUCAGCGAUCUCCUUGUGCUGUGUUCCAUCCUGCGGCUCGUCGCUCCAUCACUGAGAUCCAUAGGCUUCAUUUCAGCUCUUUGGCAAUGCUUCUUCUAACCUUGCUGCAAGAAGUCCUUGUGGCCAAUGCAUCCUCCCUAACGAGGCUGACGGGCUGCUGGCGAAAGGUGCCAGAGGAUGGAAGCUGGCAUGCUGAGGGCUUCUGUCCUGCGGUGCAGGCUGCUGGGAUCUGCCUUCCAUUGUGCUACUGAAACAUCAUCAAAGCCAGGAAAUGGGAGUGCCAUUCCAGUGAAAACCUUUGCAGUGCUGCAGCAGAGAGCCUUAAAUUCAAAGCAGUACUUUAAAAAUCAGAACUAGAAGGCGCUGCAUUAGGCCAGUGAAUGAUUCCAGCUUACACUGCCCACACAUUUGGGAAGGCUGCUUCAUCACUUCACUGCUACAUUUGUCACCUGACACCUGAGGACAGGUCACUGGAUCACAGUUCCUUACUGCCCUGCAGCUGGGGAAGGAGUUUGCAGCCCUUCUGCUGAGAAGACAGGGCUGGGUCUGCAGCCAUUAAAAGGAGCAGAAGAAGAUUUCCUCGAAUUCCUGCAUUGCUGUGAGCUGACACAAGGGCACGGCGCUCCACGCAGCAACCACCAGAUGUGCAGUGCAGGGUGUGUGUCGUGGAGCUAAUUUGGUUGUUGCCUAGAGAGCAAGGAGUUAAAGAGCAAAUGGUUUGCAGAUAGGUGUCUGGAGAAAAUCCUGAGCAGCACUGUUCCUUGGAUGAUUCACUUGCACAUUCCUGCUGCAGUAACCAGAAGCUGAAGGAGCUGAGCUCAUAGGCUGAGUCUGCCUGUGCACCCUAUGGUAGUUUGCACGGUAUGGAUUUGCUAAUGAGGGAGGGCCACAGUGAUCAUUACUUAUGCAGCAUCUCAGGAAAGAUUAAUGGCUGUAUAUCUGGCUCUUCUCAUAGCCCAUAAAUCUUCACUGCAGUUAAUGAGUCUUUAUUGAUUCUGUCAGGUAGGGUAAUUUCCAUUUCUUUCAUCAAGGCACGUUAAAUACACGCUUAUCUACUUUUCUUUUCUUAUUAUUAUUUGUUUCCAGUUAUCUCUUCGCUUGUCUAAUCAAGUCUGGAAAAAAUAAUUGUCAUUAAUUCACUGACCUGAACCUGGGCCGAGCUGUUCUGUGCACUGGCUGAAUGUGACAACUAAUCCAACAGAAAUAUGCAUUAUAUUCCCCUACAUUGCCACCUUGAAACGUCCCGGCACUGCCUCCCUGCAGUACUGGUGCUGCCACAGGGACAGGGACACGAGCUGAAGUCUCCAUGAAGUCCUGUAUGGAACAAAGGCCAGAAGGAAGUCAUGAUUUCAGUGUGUCUACUGUACUGGAAGGAAAAACAGAACAAACAGAUCCUCCUUGAAACUCUUCCCACAACCAAACUUUUAAUGUUUUUAUGAGAGAUCUGCACAUGUAUUCACAUUUAUCAGCAUAUGCAAAUCUCCCACUGAAGGGAAGCAGGCUGUGUCAGAGCAGUGGAGGUAGAAGCUGACAGUAGAUCUCUACAGCUGUCAAAACAACGGCCUGGUAGAAUGCAGCCAUCAAAACACGAGUCUUGUGUGCACAUCUCAGACUUGGCUGUUCAAUCUCUUGCACCAGAAGCUCCUAUGGCAAAUGUUUUUGAAACACGGAUGAUCCGAGUGCAUCAGAAAGAAAGCAAUAGCUGUGACAUCUUGGUCUCCAUCCUCAAAAGGCACUGGGAAUUCCAAACAAUCUAGUAAUUGGAAUUCAUAGCUAGUUUCUGUAUGAAAAGUCAGCUGUAGAAAAUAGUGUGUUUGAAAGUAUCCCCUACUCCAUACAUCAGCAUGUAACCCGGAAGCUUUCCUUCCUUGCAGUUCCCUUUGGGUUGCUUUUCCCAGUAAGAGGUCCUACCCCCUUUUUGACCAGAGGCUCUUGUGGUAAAGGGGAGCGCUGUGGGACUUCCAAGCUGGAGUGGAGGGAGAAGCGGGUAGUGAGGCAAUGCUGUGCUAUUGGAAGUUGUGCUGUUGUAAACCAUGGGAACAGCUGACCUGAGGAAUCUGCGAGAAACAAUCCUCUAUCGUCAGACACUGAAUAAUCUAAUGACUUAUUUCAGUUUCUUAAAAAUUGCCUUUUCAUCAGUUGAAAGUUGCAAAUUGCUGGUUUAAUGAGUCCCAAGCAGAGAAAAUAGAAGUAAAAAUAUAUGCAUCUUAUCUAAUAAAUGCUGAGCACUAGACAGGCAUGACUAAAGCAAACUAACCUGCAGAUUUUAAAUCUCUUAGGAUCUGUUGCAGACAGCUUGGUUCAAAACAGCCAACGAAAGAACAGAGCUGCAGCAGGUCUGCCUCGGCACCACUUGCUGCAGCUCCUGGAGGAGCAGCGUUGCAUUUUCUGUUUGGUAAACUGCUGACAGUGCUAACAGUACCAUCUUUGAAACAGCAAACUGAGCAUGUGCCAUCCCUUUGAAGGACACAUGCUGAAAUGCAGGAUGAGUAGUUCCAGAUAAGCCAGCACAGUAUGUCAGUACCUUCAGCGUGUUGCACAAACUUGCUGAUAGGGGACAAAACAAAAACCACAGAAACAAAAGCAGCUCAACAUAUUGUUCUGGUGAAAUGAGAACUCUCUCCCCAGUGUCUGUAUGCUUUGUUUAAUGGAUCAUGGGAGCCUCAGGAUUCACCAGUGUCUCACGAAGCUGCACCAGGCGAUGGCAGAUGGCAGCAGGAGCACGCGGUGCAAGAAUGCGCCCUUCUCUUAAAUGCAGCAUGAGGGUGGAGGCCCUGGGCUUCUUUCCACGCAUGACUCAAAUGAAUCUUCUGCCUAAUGAGUAGCAUUUUGAAGUCAGCUUAAAAAUCCUAUAGUGAUCCUAUCUAACCAGCUUCUCCUACGUAAAGAUUAAUUUUUUAUAAUGGUGGUUUUCUUUCCAGUUGCCCAGGGCAGUUAUUUGCUAGGGCAGCCUCCUAUCAGCUGAGAUAACAAGGGCAAAGACUGACAGUCCAGCAGAGUCUGGGUUGUGCUCAUUUCUGGGGGAGCAGCGGAUACUAUUAAUGGUGUUCAGGCCUAAAUGGAACCAAGUGUCUCAUUGGGAAAAUAUGUUGGGGAGAAAGGGCUGUGCUAGGGGGCUGCAUACCCAGAUUGUGCUCCUGUUGGAUGACUGGCUGAUAAAACCAGCACUCCUAUAUAACCUUGCAAAAGUCAUUAAUGAAGCUUCAGUGCCUCACAGUGAUGGUGGUGCUCCCAGCUGAUGGAGACAUGCUGGAGCAAGCUGCAGUAACAGUGUCUGACUGGCAGUCUUCCCUGCUGGGUGCUGCUGUCAGGAAGGCACAGUAGAGACUACGUAGGCAUAUUGAAAUAGGGUAUGAGAUCAAAUCAUCUAAAAGAUCUGCAAGGACCCUUGUUGUCUUCUUCCUUGCAGUUUGCAAAUUGCUGCUGUAUACUGAUUUUAUCUGAUUUCAAAUGUAGCUUAAGAGACUGUUUGGUAGGCAAGAGCAUCUCUAAACUAGUGGUGAGCCUUUGGGGGCUGUGUGGCAGGUGACACAGGCUGGAGGUUUCCAUAAGUAUAGGAUCCAGUUGGCAGCAUAGGCUGGUGCCCUUGGAGGUGGUAUUGCUGCAAUGGGCGAUCUGUGUCCUCAGCUGAGCACUGGCACAGAACUAGCUGUGGAUGGCAGAGCCUCGAUUUCUUCUUCCAAGUAGCAAUGGGCUGCAAAAAUUAACAUGAGUAAAAUCCAUCUCCAUCCUAGGAACAUGUAAACAUCUGGACGAGUAGUUAUGAAGAUUAAUGUUAUGCACAGGGUAAGAAUUCCCACUGACAUUUGCUCAGUUUGCCCAAGCAAGUUAGUGGAAACCUCCUGUGAAUAUGAACCGUACUCUGCAGUGCUGCGCAGGCAUUUAACAGCUUGGAUGCCAGUCUCCUUACAGGCACAUCAGUAAGUCUUAGUCUUUAAUUGCCUUAAAAUAUAAUAUUGGAAGAAAAAAAAAGUCAUAGAGGUAUGUGUAACUUUUAAGACUAAGUGGAAAAGAAGUAAACAACAAUAAAGUUAUCCCCAUCUUUGGACUUAAAAUCAGUCCUGACUGAGGCAGUUCUUCAAGGAGAGUGGGUGACAGCUGUCUGUCAGGUCUGAGCAACACGUCUUCUGCACUGAUGAUCAAUGCCUGAAAUAACGCUGAGGUGCAGCAGUAGCUGUGUAUCAUUCAUAGGAGGGUGGCAGCUGCUCCAAGUACAGCACUGAGCGUGAAUGCCUGCUGUCUCGUGGUCAGUGGUUACUGCUGUGCCUGAAGCCUGGCUGUGCCUGUGGUCAGAUGCUCUGACAUCAAAGGUACUGUUGGCUCCUUUGGGCUGGUGAACUUUAUUGAAAGCAUGCCAUGUUUGGAGUCCCAUGAGCAGGUAACGUGCAUCCAUCUGAGCGUGCAGGUUUGAACGUGUCUGCCAUAAGGUAUUUGAAUCUGGAGGCAAUGUGAUUCUUGCUAUGCAAUAAAAUCAAGAAUACACAGUCUUUUAGUGUCUAAACCCCUCCCAGUCCUCCCCUAUUCUGAACGUACUGUUAUCAUUACACCGAUACUUGCUGUGUAAUACACUUUAAAUGAGUGUGAAUGUGCUAUGGACUAAUGUGGUUAUCUCCAUAUGGCAGGAAGUUGCUUGGUCGGAGGUCAUCUCCAUACUGGUGUAAUUCCAGGCAUGUUGCUGGUUUUAAUAAUAUAAUGACGAUAAUUGAUGUUCUAAAACUGGUAAGGUCAGUGUUCACUGGCUGCUACAUUUACUUGGCAGCCAGCUCAGCAGUAUUAACACGAAAUGAGGCACAAAUCCCACGUCCUGCUCCCAGGCCUGAUAGCAGAAUGGGCGCUCCAAUGAAUCGCAGUGCUGUUUACUCCUUUGGCACUCCUUUCUUGCUGACCUCUGCCCAGGUGUGCCAUGCAGCAGGGUAAGACGGGGUGAAGCCAGGGCCAACCUGAAAAGCCCUCACGUGGCAGUUUUGCCAUGACGAGUUAAUCACAGCAUUUGCUGGUAUUAUUCCAGACUUUUUUUUCCCCCUUUGGAUGUGUGCAGGUUCACAGAGUAAAGGCAGGACGACUGUUGAAUGUGUAUUAAUGGCUAUAAGAAAUAUAGGUCCCAGUUUGCCAGUUGUUCUGCCAGGUUCUCAGACAGGAAUGUUUAGGGAGCUUUUUCUCGGCAUGGUGCAAAGCCUGCAGCUAAGAAAAGAGCCCAGGGAAGAUAAUCUGCCUUUUUCCAUGUUCAGCAUUUCCCACCCGGUGUGAACCUAAAUCAUGUGGAUUUCACUACUGGCUCUGCAAUGUUACGGGGAGAUAAGGCGGUAACAACUCAUUUGUAUCCCCAGAUGAGAUAAACCAGAAGCACAUCUCCCCGUUUGUGAGUGGCUUCCUAUCAGAGGUGAGAAUAACUGCGCGGCACUAAGCUGGCAGUCAGCAGUGAUUAAUAAUAGUAAAUCUUUUGCAUAAAUAGAAAGGUGUCAUUGUGUGUAUUUCACUUACAGUGUUUCUAAUGUGUGUCUGUAAUUAAAUUACAUCUGGUUUUCUGUCCAAGAAAUUAAUGUGCACUUACAUAAUGUGUUGGUGCUCUUAUGUUCAGGAGGGGGAAAUGAGUGCUCUGCCUUUUCAAGUGGAGAUUGCUUCAUCCAUAGCUUUUUGGGGGAGUGGAAAUAGAUUUAUUCUAUCUUUGCACGUUCGUCUGAUUCGGUGCUGAAAUCACUGGAGCAAAUUCAGCAGCCCCGGAUGCCUUCAGUUCAGGAUCCCGUUCUGAAUGAUGAUGGAAGAGAAGAAGCGUGUUACUUUGUGCUAAGUAAGAGAAGGGGACUGUAUUGAACACCGAGUUUGCUCGUUUGAUUUGUAAGCAUAUGAAAUAGCCUGCCACAUUCUUCAACUAAGCACGUAAAUUACUUGAAUCGUGGUUGUGUGUUCUGUGUUUGCUGUUACCAUUGGAAGCAGUUUUAUCAGGCUUCAGUCCCUGUGGUACUCGAGAAAGUUGUAAGAAUGCAAAGCUAUCUGAAGGUCAUUUGCAAUCUUAACAGCAGAAAUUACUAGCUGCUGUCAGCUACUAUAAUGGUGUUGAUAUGUGGCGUAAUAGUUUUACAGUGAAAUGGGAGAUGUAUUGAAGGUAUCUGAAACAGAAGCAGAAAACGUGGCUUUGGUGUGCAGGCAGGAGGAUAUUUCAGUGUCAGCUCUGAACACGAUCCCCAUAUUACACUGAGACGCAACGACUCCUUAAUGAUGGAGGCUGCUGACAGUCAGACAGGCGCUUGGAAAUUCCUCUUCACCAAGUGUUUUGGAGGCAGCUGGCAGACUUCCAGAAGUGUUCUGCUGGAGCUGCACAGCAGGCACACUGAACUAGCCUUGGUUGUGUGCCAGUUCACUACGUGGCAGUGGAUCAGGAUUCUCCAGAGAGGCUCUGCAGUCUCCAUCCCUGGGAGACCUUCAAGAGCAGAGUGGUUGGUCCUCAGCUGUGAUCUCAUAGCUGACCUGGGCUAAGCGGGAGGUUGGAUUGGAUGACCUUGUGAGGUCCUUUCCAGCCACGGUUCUCCUGUGAUAACCUCCUGAGUAGGCUCUGCUUUACAUGGGAGGUGGGAGGAAUUUAUAAACCAUAAUGUUAGUUUAAUUUUUUCUUUUCACAGUGGGUUUGCCUUUUUGAAGUAUCCCACUAGGAAUUCUGCAUCUUGGCUCAGUCGUGGCUUGGAGAAUAACCGAGUGUUUCAGGAUCUGCCAGAACAGCAGUGCCCUGGAAAUAUCUGACUGCACAAAAAUCAAAAGGAAAUUGGAGAUUGGCUUUGUUAAGGACACCUCCUGUUCUAUGGCACUGUCACUCAAUCGCUGUGUGGGAGUGCAUACAUUGUCUACAGGUGGUAGUGAGGAGGAGUCAAAGCUUCAGAGAGAGCUGCAGGAACAGCUGGACCUCAUAAGAGCUGCAAAAGAAGAUUCCCCAGCUAAAACAUGUCCAUGGAGAGCCAUAUGUGCAUAGCUGUUAGGAUUUUGGAAUCAGUGUGGUGGAAUGACAGGGAGAUGAUGGGUAAAUAUUAAUUGAGAGAGCAACCCCUGCCAAGAAAUUCUUUGCGAUCGUGUUACCUUCUCUUCAUGCAAAAUAUUUACCAAGUCAAAUACUGCCAUUUAAUUUACCAUAACUUGGUAGUCAUUACACAGGGACUUGAAGAGAAGGCCCAGCGGCCUGGCAGCCUCCUGGUGUGCCUUUGGGCUGUCCCAGAGGCAGUGAGACUGUCAGCAUGGCAGCGUGUGCUGGGAAGCUGCUUUCCAUUCUAUAUGCAGUAUCACAGGGCUGUGCUGAGCCAUGUGCCAAGCUGGCACCUCGUCCUGGCCACCUUUGGGCCAGGGGAUGGAAGGGUAAGAUGAGCUGAGCUGAUAGGUCUCUGUCAUCUGUCUGAAGGGCUUGCAGAAAUCUAGUGAAUGGGGCACCGUGUUUGGGUUUUCUUUCCAGAACUGGCAAUGCACAGGUGUAGGGUUGGUAGCAUGGAGAAGGCCAGACGAGGAAUAGAAAAAAGAGGGAAAGUUCAUUUUUGCAAUUAUUUCUGCACUUCUGUUCCUAAGACCUCUUGUUUUGUUUGUUUGUUUGUUUGUUUUGUUUUGUUUUGUUUUUAUGUUUCAUUUGCUUGGAGUCUGAGCUGGGAUAUCACAGGGAUGCUUCUCUCACUUCUGAUUCAGUAGAGUUGUAUUUCAGGCACUGAUUUGCAUUGACAGGCAGAAAAUACUUCUGUUUAAUUAGAAUAAAUCAUUUUAAAGUUGAAGAUGAAGAUGACCCUGGAAGAGUGCCACUCACAUCUUUAGUUGAUGCCUCAUGCCCACAAUUGAUGUGGGAACCCUAUUCCCAUGCCGACGGCACAGGCCAUGUGUGCACUGAGUAAUCACAAAUUUACACAUCAGCAUUACUCAACCUCCAGGCAGCGUGCGGUCAGUUUUCAUUUGCACUCUUAAAAUUGUUUCCAUUUAACACCCUUAAGCAGCUCUACGAAUUACAGUGAAAUAUAAAAUGACCCUCACAUUUGCUCUCCUGCUUAUUCAACACGACCGUUCCCCGCUCGGCGUGGCAGCGUGCUUUUCAUGUGGCUGCCCAUAUGCCCUGCACAUGACUGUGAUCUGGCUCCCAAAAGGGUAUGUUGUGAUCUGCUCGCAUGUGCCAAUUCACAUAUCUAAACGUUUUCAUAAGGGGAACCCCUUUGUGUUAGUCAUCUGGUUGUCAAACAAGACCUGGCUGUGAUCCUGGACCUGGCACUAGAUGAAAUAUGUGCACUUUAAACAUUUCAUACUGAAACUGAUGGGAAUGGGCAAUUCCUCAGUACAUUUUCUCAAGGUUUUUAAACAAUAAAUGUCAACCUAAGGGCAAAGCGAGACAGAUUUCAGAUUAAAGAGACGGGCUUUGCUUAACAUCUAUAAAUCCCUUAGUCCCAACCUCCUUCAUGGUUUUUCAAACAAGGAACAAGGAAAGGCUAUGUCAAGCGCGGUGGACACUUUUGUCAACACAACUUCUGCCUUUGGUAGCAUGAUAGAAAGAUUUCAAAAAUAGAUUUUUCUGAUGGAUUCAUGACUUGGCAUCCCGCAGAGAAUCUAGUAUUCUUCCAAGCAAAGCUAAAGGUUUGUGUUAGAAGGCUAGCAAAGCCAGUCAAAGAGCCUUUCAUCCUCAAGAUUACUAAAAUAUUCCUUUGUUUAUUUUUCUCCUUCAAUUACUUUUCCUGUCUUGGUUUAAUCUGUAGUGCUGAAGCUUGUCAGCACCUAUAGCCUUUUGUUUAGGAUAGAUGCCUUGGGAGCAUGAAUAAAAACAAUUUUCAUGUAGUGUCUCCUUGUCACAGCUGCUGCCUGAAGCCCAUCGACUUCUCUUUCCAAAGACCCGAUUAUGCACACACAAACAGAACAGAGCCUGGAGCCAGCAGUUUGAUAUUGCUUAAUGCCAGCGAUGAGCCCUCGUUAACCCGGUGCUCCAUCAUUUGCAAUAGAAGCAGCAAAUUUGUUUUCUCUCCCAGUUUCCAAAGAAAAAAAUGUGUCAGAAUGCUUGUCUUGACUGUAACUUAGUGAAAUGUUUAAAUAUUUUAGAAUGUAAAUUCUAGAAUUUGCAGCUGCGGGGAGAAGGAAAAUGAAACUUGUAUUUGGAAAAUUAAUUCUCAAACAAAAAUUCCCUGUAUAUGUUUUCUUUUUCCAGGAAAGUGAUUUCUUGAAACUUCAGCAUAUGCUUUUCAUUUGUGUGAGCUGGCACUGCCACGAGCCAGAGGAGGCUUGCAGCAAGCGGGGCCAUGCGGGACUGGCACCUGCUCGGCUGUGCUCGGGUGACUUCUGGACCUUCUGGUACUGUGAGUGAGCCGCACUUGAUGGAAAGAUGCUGAGCAUUUUUUCUUGACCCCAUGUCAUUGUGGAGUGGUUGCAGCUUGCUGUCACGGGCAGUCUUGUCUUGCAGAGAGCAGCAUAUCCCUGCAGAAAGAGAAAUGCUGUGGUAGCUCUAGAUGCAAGAGAAGCUUCAAGGAAAGUUUGCAUUUAAUUAUUGUUAGAAAUGUGCAGCAAAACAGAUUUCAUUGUUUUUAGCUCUUACAAAGCCAUAUGCCUAUGUCUCUGGGUUCCAAAACCACAUAACGAACAAAACAAAACAAACAAACAAAAGCAAGACCACAAGCAAGACCACAUAGCAGUAAUUAAAUGUCUCUGUUCCAGAAUAGGGUGCGUACUGUGAUCAAGACUGGCAGUAGCAGGGAAGCCAGGGUGCAUAGCUGAAGGAGGAGAGCAGACAGGAGCAAUGGGCAGGGUUUGCAGGGAAUGAGGAGCGUGGGUCUGUGUGCACCCUGGGAAGGGGCUCGUAACCAAGCACACAGUACUGGAACCUGCUGUGUGGUUGUUUGCAGCUGGAAAAAUGCAAUGGAGACAUGAUUCCUCAUGUAAUUCUUAGGUUGAAUCAGUUGGACCUAUUCUUUGCUUACUCAUUCAAAACUAUCAUUUUAUUCUGUCCCAGCGAGCUGAAGCAGACUGGCUUACUUCUCAUAGGGUGUCCAUCCAGCUGCCUUGAAGACAGCAGAAGGAACUAGAGAUUGUGGUCACAGUUCAGUGACUGAGUGAAGGGAUGAAGGUCAUUCCUCUCACUGAGACAGUCUCUUCAUACUCCCUGUCACCGCUUCUCUGCUCAGUGUUGUUCCUGCUAAUCGGGAUGCUUUGAAAUAGAGAGAGAGGAUAGUGGGAGGUGCAAGAAGAAAGACUGAAUUGAAGGCAGAAGAGAGCACAGUGGGGAUACAGACAGAAAAACAGGCUACGUGCUGAGCACAUUUAAAGGAGCACAGCUGGAACAGUGCUGGAGAGUAACAAAACUAUCUUUCCAUGUGUGUUUGCCUGUUCCCGUGUUAUUUUUCCCCAGUACUGCAUACAGCAUGGUUUCCCCACAAGGUUAAAGAUCACAAUAAUGUUUUAUGUAGGUAGCAGAAUACCCUGCGUGGAGGAAGUGGUACAUGAUUUUACUUAGAGAACAGAGAUUUCAUGGUUUUUAACACAUGCAAGGAAAUUUGUCUACUGGCAUCUGUUGCGGAGAUGGUAUCCCUUUGACACAAGUCAGGAAGCAAAAGCAUCUGUGGCUGUAAGGACAGUGCUUGCAGAAAACACUUGUGCAGAUAUCUUUAUUCAGGUCUGGUUCCCAUGUAGAAAGAGGCAUGUCCUCAGGAUGGCUGCUGAAUGCCAUCAGCACUGGGAGAGAAAAGAACAGAUGUAUGGCUGUAAACCGAGAUGUGAAAAAGCAGGAAUCUGAAGUUAGCUUGAAAGUUAUUUGGGCUGGGGUAUUGGUGGGAAGUGUCAGUGGGCAGCAGCUCAGAACCUGCAGUAACUGCUUGGCUGCCUGGCUCUUUCUUCAGCAAUCUCACUUGAGUGUUUUCAUGUGCAAGCAGAGGACACUGAUCUGCCCUGUCUUCCACACAUGUGCAUUCAUUCAGUGCAGUUACCUGUGUUGCUGUAGUAUACCUGCCCCUUUGGACUUGAGCACAAAUGUAUCAGGUAAAUGCAGGUGGAUGCAGCCACCGGUAAAGAAGUUGGUUUUUUUUUUCAUUGUGAUUGAUGCGUGGAUAGCAACCCUAUCCCAGUCUUACUAUUGGAUCAUCAGUCAAGACUUGAGGACUGCUGAAAGUAUGUCCUCAUCCCUAAGGUGUUGCAGUUCAGUGCUGGACCCGUCCAAGCUGAGACAAACUGAUUUUUGCAUUCAACAAAGCAAUGAUAGGACAAGAGGGCAUGGCCUCAAGUUGUGCCAGGGGAGAUUCAGGCUGGAUAUUAGGAAGAAUUUAUUUCCAGAAAGAGCAAUGAGGCAUUGGCACAGGCUGCCCAGGGAGGUGGUGAAGUCAUCAUCCCUGAAGGUGUUUAAAGAAAAGGCAGAUGUAGCACUUAGGGACAUGGUUUAGUGGGCAGUAUUGAUGGUAGGUGGAUGGUUGGACUAGAUGAUCUUAGAGGUCUUUUCCAACCCUAAUGAACCUGUGAUUCUGUGAAUGCAUGUGGAGUAUAUGACUGGCAGAAAGGACGGAUGUUGGGACGCGAAGCCUGAGUUCAGGUCUGAUACCAAAUGACUCCUGCAAAUUGGGCAGAGUAGGCUUCUGCUCUCUCCAUGCUUAAUUUCCUAACACUGUUUGGAGCUAGUUGGGAGCAGGAGAUAGUGAGCUGUCCAGAAAAACAACCAUUCCAGGUGCCGUGAUGAGUGUGGAGUAUACAGGCAUUGCACAGAAAGCAGUGACAGCAUGGUCUGCAUUAUCUGGUGAGGUGGUACAUCAUCUGCAUACCUGUGUGAUUCUAUAUGUGUGUAUCAGCAGCCUAUUGUUACAACGUGCUUAUGUGGCAAUUCGUUUGUGGAGUGUACCUUGUGCUGGUGUUCCACAGUAUUAAUGUUCUCAAGCAUGGGAAGACAUCUGUCAAGCAAGCACUAGUAAAUACCAUGCAGCUGUACUUUGUCAGGGUUCCAUUUUGCAUUUCCCUCUUUUCUCUACCUCAACACUCCUUCAGAUCACACUGACAUCAGUUGUGAUUAUGGCAAAAGAAGAUAACUCCUGUUAACCCUGUCAGAUGCUUGCAUAAGAUGAAGGCAUUUUCUUAAUGCACUCAUAAUCUAUAACCAGUUGUUUUUAAAGCCAUUUGAGAACCGUACAGAGAAGGCAUUUUGCAUUUGGUCAGUCAGAAGUUGGUAACUGUUUUAGAAGCCUGCUGGAAGGAAGACAUCAAGAAAAGCUUUUGCAAAGCUGUGUUUUCACCUCACAGUGCUUUGCAGAGAUGCAUUCUUGGGUUCGGUUCAUAUGGGUUCAUUUCUCUGACUUUCACUUUGAAUUUUGGAAUCAAAGGCAUUUUAAAAUUUUAGAUCAAACUUAUUAGAAAACACUGUAUCUCACCUGGUUUCAGCUCUUUAAGUAGUGAAAAGCAGUGCCUCCCCUGCUGUGAUCCUGAUACAAAUCUGUAAGUCAUCACGCCAGCGCGUUUGAAGCUGGGCCUAGCACUUCUGUCCAGAGUACAGCGUUGCUCAGAAAGUUCAUGGCUUCACCUUUGAACAGGGUGUUGCAGCGAAACAGGCAGCAGGCCGGAUUUCUGGGUAGAUGGCAAAGACAGCACCCAGCUUUCAUUUUGGGGAUUUUCCUAGCAUAAAGCUGCCCGAGCCAGAAGGCAGUUUGCGGCCACAGAUCCCUGAUUUUGCUCCUUUGAAUCACAGCUGGUGUCCUUUUGGGUGCAUCAGACGUGUUUGCUUCUGUCCUGGAGGCCGACAUUCAGCCAUCAUGGCCGUGGCUAAGGUCUCCAUCCUUGCCAUAUAGACUGGAGUCUGCAGCAGUAGGGCUUAGAACUUGAUACAAGCCUGAAGGGAGAGUUAUGAGCACAGUGACUGACAGCUCACGACUGUCUGAUAUGUCAGACCUCUGAGACCAGGUCUGGGAGGGAGGGUGAAUACAGUACCUGGGGAGCAGUCCCUUCCCUUCCUCCUGCUGGGGGGCAGUGGGGCUGGGCCUGUCCCUGCUGCCCACCCUGCCCUCCAGAGCACAGCUGCCCCUGCGGUUUCCGGGAAUCCCCGCCUGUAUGUGGUUUCUUAACCAGUCCUGCAAAAAUGUAUUUUUUAUUGAAUGUUAUUC
ensembl:lncRNA